rnacentral:rRNA from 1 species
AUACCCGCUGAACUUAAGCAUAUCAAUAAGCGGAGGAAAAGAAACCAACAGGGAUUGCCUCAGUAAACGGCGAGUGAAGCGGCAAUAGCUCAAAUUUGAAAUCUGACUUCGGUCCGAGUUGUAAUUUGUAGAGGAUGCUUCGGCUUAUGUCUCGGUCUAAGUUCCUUGGAACAGGACGUCACAGAGGGUGAGAAUCCCGUUUGUGGCCGUGACUUCCGCCAUGUGAAGCUCCUUCGACGAGUCGAGUUGUUUGGGAAUGCAGCUCUAAAUGGGAGGUAAAUUUCUUCUAAAGCUAAAUACCGGCCAGAGACCGAUAGCGCACAAGUAGAGUGAUCGAAAGAUGAAAAGCACUUUGGAAAGAGAGUUAAAAAGUACGUGAAAUUGUUGAAAGGGAAGCGUUUGCGACCAGACUUGCCCGCGGAUGCUCAACCGGUCCUUCGGCCGGUGCACUCUUCCGCGGUCAGGCCAGCAUCAGUUCGGGCGGUUGGAUAAAGGCCUUGGGAAUGUGGCUCUCUUCGGGGAGUGUUAUAGCCCUUGGUGCAAUACAACCUGCCUGGACUGAGGCCCGCGCUUCGGCUAGGAUGCUGGCGUAAUGGUCGUAAGCGGCCCGUCUUG